rnacentral:rRNA from 1 species
AGUGAACGCUGGCGGUAGGCCUAACACAUGCAAGUCGAACGGCAGCACAGUAAGAGCUUGCUCUUACGGGUGGCGAGUGGCGGACGGGUGAGGAAUACAUCGGAAUCUACUUUUUCGUGGGGGAUAACGUAGGGAAACUUACGCUAAUACCGCAUACGACCUACGGGUGAAAGCAGGGGAUCUUCGUACCCUGCGCGAUUGAAUGAGCCGAUGUCGGAUUAGCUAGUUGGCGGGGUAAAGGCCCACCAAGGCGACGAUCCGUAGCUGGUCUGAGAGGAUGAUCAGCCACACUGGAACUGAGACACGGUCCAGACUCCUACGGGAGGCAGCAGUGGGGAAUAUUGGACAAUGGGCGCAAGCCUGAUCCAGCCAUACCGCGUGGGUGGAGAAGGCCUUCGGGUUGUAAAGCCCUUUUGUUGGGAAAGAAAAGCAGCAGGUUAAUACCCCGCUGUUCUGACGGUACCCAAAGAAUAAGCACCGGCUAACUUCGUG